UGUGAUCAGUGGAGUGAGCUCUUUCCACAGGUAUAGGCCACACCCAUAUGUGACUUGAUACUUUUUUCACAAAAUUCCAAAAGAUGCAAAUUGUUUCUUGCAAGUUUU